rnacentral:tRNA from 1 species
UGGGGCGUCGCCAAGCGGCAAGGCACCGGAUUUUGAUUCCGGCAUACCCAGGUUCGAAUCCUGGCGCCCCAGCCA